UACGUAGGGUGCAAGCGUUGUCCGGAAUUAUUGGGCAUAAAGAGCUCGUAGGCGGUUCGUCGCGUCGGCUGUGAAAUCCCGAGGCUCAACCUCGGGUCUGCAGUCGAUACGGGCGGACUGGAGUACUGCAGGGGAGACUGGAAUUCCUGGUGUAGCGGUGAAAUGCGCAGAUAUCAGGAGGAACACCGGUGGCGAAGGCGGGUCUCUGGGCAGUUACUGACGCUGAGGAGCGAAAGCGUGGGGAGCGAACAGG
rnacentral:rRNA from 1 species